rnacentral:rRNA from 1 species
CUACGGAGGGUGCGAGCGUUAAUCGGAAUUACUGGGCGUAAAGGGUGCGUAGGCGGCCUGAUAAGUCGGAUGUGAAAGCCCCGGGCUUAACCUGGGAAUUGCAUUCGAUACUGUCAGGCUAGAGUAUGUCAGAGGUUGGCGGAAUUCCUGGUGUAGCGGUGAAAUGCGUAGACAUCAGGAGGAACACCAGUGGCGAAGGCGGCUAACUGGGGCAAUACUGACGCUGAGGCACGAAAGCGUGGGGAGCAAACAGGAUUAGAUACCCUUGUAGUCC